GUUGAUGAAGGCAUGAAUUAAUGAACAUUUUAUUUUAUUUCUAACUAAUAUUAACUUAAUAAUCAAAUACCAAUUCUACCCUUAAUUAAAACAUUAUAAAAUCACUUAAUAUAUACCCAUUUAUGUCAAAUUCCACUAUCAAGGGUCAAAUUACAACAUAAGGACCUUUCAUUUAAUAAGCCAUGACAAAUAUACACCUUUAUCAUAUAGAAUGCAACUUUUGCAUUUUUGGUGAUUUAGUCCUUUUUCU
rnacentral:lncRNA from 1 species